AGAUUGAACGCUGGCGGCAUGCCUAACACAUGCAAGUCGAACGGGAGUAGCAAUACUCUAGUGGCGGACGGGUGAGGGAAUACGUAGGAAUUUGCCCUUAAGUGGGGGAUAACCCGGGGAAACCCGGAUUAAUACCGCAUGACCUCGAAAGAGCAAAGUGGGGGAUCGCAAGACCUCACGCUUUUGGAGAAGCCUACGUCGGAUUAGCUAGUUGGUGAGGUAAUGGCUCACCAAGGCGACGAUCCGUAACUGGUCUGAGAGGAUGAUCAGUCACACCGGAACUGAGACACGGUCCGGACUCCUACGGGAGGCAGCAGUGGGGAAUAGUUGGACAAGUGGGCGCAAGCCUGGACUCCAGCAAUGCCGCGUGUGUGAAGAGGUCCUUCGGGUUGUAAGCGUAACGUUUAGGUUAGGAAGAAAAACGUACGUACUACUAACACAGUAGAGU
rnacentral:rRNA from 1 species